GUCACAGCAUCCAGCCAAUUUCGGCCAGGCCUCUGACAGACGGACGUGGUGAUCUCGAACUGACAAGCAUCCUCACUUGAAUGGCUCUGUCCUCUUCUAACAGGCACAUUCUGCUGCUCUCCUCUUCUUUCUCUCUCGCGCGGGUGCUGCUCCUGCUCCUCUCAACUCUCACUUCUGCUGCUGCUGCUCCUUUCGAAUCUCACUCCUGCUGCUCUACAAUAGUAAUUUUUUAUGCUACUUCAUCUCUACCUGAGAAAAGAAUGGUGAUGGUGUUUUGAUUCCCUUUACCUUUACCAGUACUAAUUGGUCAUUAGCAUCUGGGAAGAAGGCUUCCCCACGCCAGUACAAGCUUUUUAAUGUGUGCAUUUUGUUACAGCAAAAACUAAACGGGUGGCAAGAUGAAUAUAGUUGUUAUUAAACACCCAACUGGUGCAUGGAAUUGAGGCAAUUGAUGCACUGGUUUGUGCUUUGCUCAUUCCAUUGCUGCAUUGUUUUGUGCUUGGGAAUAGAGUAGAGGGUGGUGUACACGAAGCUGGAGGUCGGCAAGUCGGGCAAGGCCACGGGAGUUGAACUAUAGAAAAAAAUAUAUCAGCCCAAUGACAGAAAAACAUCAGUUCAAAAAUAUACACGCAGGAGGCUUGGAUCAAAAAAGCAGGCCACGGCGCACCUCCACCUCCCUGCCGUGGCGUGCCUCCACAUCCCGGCCGUAGGCAUGUGCAAUUACUGACUGCUUCUUGCUUCCACUUUUUACAUGAUUUAGUGUGUGCACUAUAGGAGUGCUUUUUGUCUCGGUAGAUCAGCUGCUCAACAACAUAAUCAUGUACCGGUCAGUACAUGUAUUACUGCUGGGGGGUUCAAAAAUCAGAACUCAAAAAGUUCAACCUUGGUGGUAUUGUGCACAUGCAAAAUUAGAUAAAUACUUGUUAAAAUUGCUCCCAGUAUUUGACAUAUUCCAUGCAAUGCUUACUAGAUUGUUCUAAAAAAAGUGUCAUGUAUAUGUGAAUUUACUAUUGGUAUAGCAGUUAAAUAUGUAUUAUAUCACCCUUCAUAAUGAAAUGCAGAAACAGUUCGAUGUGUGUAUAUGCAUCCGUUCAUACUUGUCAUUUCUUUUUUCCUUUGUUGUUUUUUCUUCGUACACAUAUGGUUCAGGAAAAAAAGUGAUCCAAAGUUCAAAGAAAAACCAUUGUGGAGUUGAUGUUUCAAAGCGAAGAACGCCUGGUUACGUUGUGCCCACUAGGGCAGGGGAAAAACCAGAUGCACAUGUUCAUAUUUUGAGACACACUUAGUUCAAAUCUAAUUUUAGUUCAGUGCAGUUCUUAUUUUUACUUAAGCCCAGUUUAUUAUUUUACUAUAGUGUUAUAGUGGACUUUUAGGACUACUUUCAUAGUUGUGGAGGUUCAUAAAGAUGUCAAAGUUCAUGGAUAUAUAACAUAAAGGUUCAAAUAUCAAACCAGGAUAAAUUCACCUGCAGCAGUUCAACAGGGGCACGGGGUUCAGUUCAACGGUGACGAGUCAGGCAGCCGGCCUUCGCAUAACGAACUGGUGCAGUUUGAUCUUGUGCGAAUUGGAAAUCCCCUAAUGUUGAGUGCGUCAGCACAACCCUACGCUUCAAGGCACACGUGCAUCCACUUCACGUGUUAGUCAAUAGUAUUGUGCAUUUGCUUGGUACCUUUGCUACUCUAGUUACAUAUCACUUGUGAAAUCAAACAAAAUUUGUUGUUCACUUUUCUGUGUUUUGUUGAAUAAUUCUCAUGUUGUCUUCUAAGGCAUUAUUCUUUUAAUGUGCAAAAUCCUGAGCAAAAAUGAUACAUUUUAGUUUGCUUUGCCGCAAGGGCAUUGAUGAAACUUAAAUCCUGUCUCAACUAUAGCCAUCCAUUUUGAAAUAGAUGUUACUUUACUUCGGGUGGUUUCUGAAUCACAUUUCACUAAAAAAAUGUAAUAGUGAAAUUAUACUGAAUAACUAAAUUAAAUUGUAGUGACAAAAACACCAACAGUACAUGCAGGGUCAGUGAUGUAGGUCCACAGAAAAUAAUUAUUAUGUAAACUUCCCUCUCCUGAUGCGUAUAAACAAAAAAAAGUUUUCAAGAGGUCAUAAUCACUGCUUAAAUGAUGUUGGAAGGCGGGAAAGAAAAGCUGCUCUUAAAUGUGACAUGUAGUUGAUAUGUCUCCAACGUAUCUAUAAUUUUUGAUUGUUCCAUGCUAUUAUAUUAUCUGUUUUGGAUGUUUAAUGGGCUUUAUUAUGCACUUUUAUAUUAUUUUUGGGACUA